rnacentral:rRNA from 1 species
GUGGGGAAUUUUGGACAAUGGGGGCAACCCUGAUCCAGCCAUGCCGCGUGCGGGAAGAAGGCCUUCGGGUUGUAAACCGCUUUUGUCAGGGAAGAAAUCCUUUGGGUUAAUACCUCGGAGGGAUGACGGUACCUGAAGAAUAAGCACCGGCUAACUACGUGCCAGCAGCCGCGGUAAUACGUAGGGUGCGAGCGUUAAUCGGAAUUACUGGGCGUAAAGCGUGCGCAGGCGGUUUUGUAAGAUCGAUGUGAAAUCCCCGGGCUCAACCUGGGAAUUGCGCUUGUGACUGCAAGGCUGGAGUGCGGCAGAGGGGGAUGGAAUUCCGCGUGUAGCAGUGAAAUGCGUAGAUAUGCGGAGGAACACCGAUGGCGAAGGCAAUCCCCUGGGCCUGCACUGACGCUCAUGCACGAAAGCGUGGGGAGCAAACAGGAUUAGAAACCCUAGUAGUCC